ensembl:lncRNA
CUAACCUAGUCCAGCCCCUGGCUUGUCUCUCCUGGGCCCUCUCUGUGUGGGCCCUAAACCAGCCUGGUCCUGCCCCUCUCUGUGUGGGCCCUAAACACGAGGAAGGUUACCCCCCAGCACAAUAUGAGGCAGGUUACCCCCAGGACAAUAUGAGGCAGGUUACCCCCCAGGACAAUAUGAGGCAGGUUACCCCCAGGACAAUAUGAGGCAGGUUACCCCCCAGGACAAUAUGAAGCAGGUUACCCCCCAGGACAAUAUGAGGCAGGUUAACCUCCAGGACCAGGACAAUAUGAGGCAGGUUAACCUCCAGGACAAUGUGAGGCAGGUUACCCUCCAGGACCAGGACAAUAUGAGGC